rnacentral:rRNA from 1 species
UACAGAGGUCCCGAGCGUUGUUCGGAUUCACUGGGCGUAAAGGGUGCGUAGGUGGCGAUGAAAGUUCGAUGUGAAAUCUCCGGGCUUAACCCGGAAAAGGCAUUGAAAACUAUGUUGCUUGAGGUUUGGAGGGGGGACUGGAAUUCUUGGUGUAGCAGUGAAAUGCGUAGAUAUCAAGAGGAACACCAGUGGCGAAGGCGGGUCCCUGGGCAACACCUGACACUGAGGCACGAAAGCUAGGGGAGCAAACAGG